rnacentral:rRNA from 1 species
UUGAACGCUGGCGGCAGGCCUAACACAUGCAAGUCGAACGGUAACAGGAAGCAGCUUGCUGCUUUGCUGACGAGUGGCGGACGGGUGAGUAAUGUCUGGGAAACUGCCUGAUGGAGGGGGAUAACUACUGGAAACGGUAGCUAAUACCGCAUAACGUCGCAAGACCAAAGAGGGGGACCUUAGGGCCUCUUGCCAUCGGAUGUGCCCAGAUGGGAUUAGCUAGUAGGUGGGGUAACGGCUCACCUAGGCGACGAUCCCUAGCUGGUCUGAGAGGAUGACCAGCCACACUGGAACUGAGACACGGUCCAGACUCCUACGGGAGGCAGCAGUGGGGAAUAUUGCACAAUGGGCGCAAGCCUGAUGCAGCCAUGCCGCGUGUAUGAAGAAGGCCUUCGGGUUGUAAAGUACUUUCAGCGGGGAGGAAGGGAGUAAAGUUAAUACCUUUGCUCAUUGACGUUACCCGCAGAAGAAGCACCGGCUAACUCCGUGCCAGCAGCCGCGGUAAUACGGAGGGUGCAAGCGUUAAUCGGAAUUACUGGGCGUAAAGCGCACGCAGGCGGUUUGUUAAGUCAGAUGUGAAAUCCCCGGGCUCAACCUGGGAACUGCAUCUGAUACUGGCAAGCUUGAGUCUCGUAGAGGGGGGUAGAAUUCCAGGUGUAGCGGUGAAAUGCGUAGAUAUUAGGAGGAACACCAGUGGCGAAGGCGGCUUACUGGACGAUAACUGACGCUGAGGCUCGAAAGCGUGGGGAGCAAACAGGAUUAGAUACCCUGGUAGUCCACGCCGUAAACGAUGUCGACUUGGAGGUUGUGCCCUUGAGGCGUGGCUUCCGGAGCUAACGCGUUAAGUCGACCGCCUGGGGAGUACGGCCGCAAGGUUAAAACUCAAAUGAAUUGACGGGGGCCCGCACAAGCGGUGGAGCAUGUGGUUUAAUUCGAUGCAACGCGAAGAACCUUACCUGGUCUUGACAUCCACGGAAGUUUUCAGAGAUGAGAAUGUGCCUUCGGGAACCGUGAGACAGGUGCUGCAUGGCUGUCGUCAGCUCGUGUUGUGAAAUGUUGGGUUAAGUCCCGCAACGAGCGCAACCCUUAUCCUUUGUUGCCAGCGGUCCGGCCGGGAACUCAAAGGAGACUGCCAGUGAUAAACUGGAGGAAGGUGGGGAUGACGUCAAGUCAUCAUGGCCCUUACGACCAGGGCUACACACGUGCUACAAUGGCGCAUACAAAGAGAAGCGACCUCGCGAGAGCAAGCGGACCUCAUAAAGUGCGUCGUAGUCCGGAUUGGAGUCUGCAACUCGACUCCAUGAAGUCGGAAUCGCUAGUAAUCGUGGAUCAGAAUGCCACGGUGAAUACGUUCCCGGGCCUUGUACACACCGCCCGUCACACCAUGGGAGUGGGUUGCAAAAGAAGUAGGUAGCUUAACCUUCGGGAGGGCGCUUACCACUUUGUGAUUCAUGACUGGGGUG